AAACCGCUUAGGGGUUAAGCCCGAUGAACCCGAAUAUCUGAUGUGAGAAAUUCAAUACUGUUCAUUUAAUUAAUGCGAUAGUAUGCACUUUUCUCAUAGUAGGACAUUGUAAUCCAUUGAUAUUAUAUCAUUUUCACAUUAUAUGGGAUAUGAUGAUUUAACAUACGAACAAAAUGUAUAAGUUUAUUCUAUCAGUGAUAUGUUUACAUGUCAUAUGAAUAAGAUCGUUUUGUAUCCGUUUAAAUAGUCGAUGGAUUUUAAACUGAAUCAUGCUUGCAAUUUAUUUUGCGUUUCGUAUUAUUGGCUAUUUAAUUGGUUGAUAAUAGCAGAAAUGGCAUGCAUUCGAUUAACAAUGCGAUAGAUUUGGGAUGCCUUCGGGACCCGUCUUGAAACACGGACCAAGGAGUCUAACAUAUGUGCAAGUCAUUGGGUAUGUUGUUGAAACUUAAUGGCGUAAUUAAAAUGACUAUAUUUUUAAUUUGGGAUCACAAGUAAUGUUCAAAUUUAUGCAUUAUUUUUAAAUCCCGGGGCGUUCUAUACGAACAUGAUGUAAGCAAUUAUGUCCUCUGUUCAAGAGCGUACCUUGAGCACAUAUGCUGU
rnacentral:rRNA from 1 species